CGGGAAAAGCUCAAAUUUAAAAUCUGGCGGUUCUGCCGUCCGAGUUGUAAUUUAGAGAAGCGUUAUCCGCGCUAGACCGUACACAAGUCUCCUGGAAUGGAGCGUCAUAGAGGGUGAGAAUCCCGUCUAUUGGUUUAGUGUUUAUACCGCGUACGAUUCAUGUUCGAC
rnacentral:rRNA from 1 species